rnacentral:rRNA from 1 species
GCCCUUAGAGUUUGAUCAUGGCUCAGAACGAACGCUGGCGGCAUGCCUAACACAUGCAAGUCGAACGAGACCUUCGGGUCUAGUGGCGCACGGGUGCGUAACGCGUGGGAAUCUGCCCUUAGGUUCGGAAUAACUCAGGGAAACUUGAGCUAAUACCGGAUAAUGACUUCGGUCCAAAGAUUUAUCGCCUAGGGAUGAGCCCGCGUCGGAUUAGCUAGUUGGUGAGGUAAAAGCUCACCAAGGCGACGAUCCGUAGCUGGUCUGAGAGGAUGAUCAGCCACACUGGGACUGAGACACGGCCCAGACUCCUACGGGAGGCAGCAGUGGGGAAUAUUGGGCAAUGGGGGAAACCCUGAUCCAGCAAUGCCGCGUGAGUGAUGAAGGCCUUAGGGUUGUAAAGCUCUUUUACCCGGGAUGAUAAUGACAGUACCGGGAGAAUGAGCCCCAAAAAAGUCU